UGUAUUGGGUCUUUUUAUGUCGUUAUUUAUAUUGAUGGUGGGUUUCUUUUGCUUCCUCACCGCUUGCUUGAGUACGUGUCCGCUUCUGAUUCUCACUGCUUCUUUUAGUAGUGAUACGUGUUCUGUACACGUCUCCAAUGGUUCCUUCACCGGGUUAAUCUAUCAACAGAUUCCACUGCCUCUCCCUUCUUCCGUUUGCCUCUAGCCCUACAGCUCGCCUUCCCUACUGCUCACUUGAGCGCUGCUCACCGGCUUUCUUCUCUAACUACAAUAUUGAUCCCCUCUUCAUGUCGAUCGUCUCCACCACCUCAAUCCACAAGUUCUUCUGAUCAUUGUUCAAUUUUUCUCAUCCACAAGUUCUUCUGAUCAUUGUUCAAUUUUUCUCAUCCACAAGGUCUAACCACUUCAACCGAUUUCUCCCGAUCCGCAGUUAUGGCCAGUGGUCAUUGGCGCCGCCCUAGACGGAAACCACCUCAUCACACGGAAGAAUGAGGAAGCCCCCAAGUAGCAAUGGAGAGCGAAGACCGUCACAAGUGCUUCAUAUAGGACGUCAUCUUCCCAUCGAUCUGCAGCUAUCGCCAGGUACCAUCGUUCUCUCCAUCGGUUUUGUUAUUACAGGUUGAUGAAUUUAAAUAUUUUGAGCAUCCCUACCUGUGAAUCUUUUUUAGAAAAGUUUUUAUUCCCCUUGGAGAUCGGCGUGAAGGUAACAAUCUUGAUACUGUUCGUGGUUAUCUGUUUCUGGAACUGUAUAACACAAUUUCGUGUCUGGUGAGCCUACAAAGAUUGAUUUGGGUAAAGGUACACAGAUUAUGUUCGUUGCCAGAUUUCUUUCUAUCCAUUUUAUUAUUUGUUUAUAAUACAUAGACAAUGCAUGCCAAUUGUUUGUGAAAAUGCCCAACUGAAACGCAUAAGUCAUGUUAAUGGUUUUUAUUCGAAAUUGUUUCCAAUUAUACAAUAGCACUUUUUUUUUCUUCUAUCGUCCCAACAAAAAAAUAAAAUGAUUUGUGUUUCUUCCUUCAAUCUAAUACAUUAGUAGUAAUGAUGAAUUUGACUACUUUCUUAACUUUGUGAUGGGUGUGUAGAGCACAGGACCUGAGAUGCGAAACAUGGAAAUACAAUUUGCAUUAUGUAUUUCGUUUUGUUGGAUUUUUGUGGUGUUUCCAAAAUAUCAACUCAGAUUUUUGUUAAAAAUAUCAUCUUCCAAAUCUUAUUCAUCAUUUCAACUGGAGAAAGUUCCUGACUUGGAUGUCGGAAAUGCCCUUUUCUGGGAACCUCCUCUUAACAUAUUGUUUGAAUCAAGAAUUAGUGCAGGGCUAAAAGUUUGCGAAAUCUCCAUUCCUUCACAAUCGACUACAUGCACAACAACACCCCUGGAAUUUAAACCGGAUGAACUUUUUGGAUCGUCAUCAAUCGACAUCACUGAUUCCAUUCCGACGAGGUCAUUUCCAUGUAAAUGAUGAACCAACAACUUUCUAGAAAUGUCUCAAGUGGAUUCUAUGAUUAUAUCGGAGCAUCUGGAUGCCGUUCCUGAGAAUAAAUCUCCUACAUCUUCAGAGAGAUUAAGAAAACAAUAAAGAAAUUCCCUCAUAGCACACGAAAAAGAAAUAAAAGACAAAGUAACUUAGCUUAAGUUGUAAAUGCUACAAGUGUACAUCUUUGACUAACUUUGACGUUGAUCAUUUUGUUCUCUCACAGUGUACCCAUAAUUGCUUAUAAUUUCCGAAGUAGACCUUGAGAUGCGUAUGAAUGAAAUCCCCAUCAAAGAUUUAAUUAGGCUUGCAGAACAUAGGGAACAAAUAGCUGCAUGUUCUUAUUAUUUUAUUGAAUGUUAAUUCACUCUCAUUGGUCUUUAUUUAUUUUUAUUUUAUUAUUUACAUAG